rnacentral:rRNA from 1 species
UACGUAGGCAGCGAGCGUUGUUCGGAGUUACUGGGCGUAAAGAGUGCGUAGGCGGUUUUCUAAGUUUGGUGUGAAGUCUCCCGGCUUAACUGGGAGGGUGCGCCGAAAACUGGAAGGCUUGAGUAUGGGAGAGGUAAGCGGAAUUCCUGGUGUAGCGGUGAAAUGCGUAGAUAUCAGGAGGAACACCUGCGGUGUAGACGGCUUACUGGACCAUAACUGACGCUGAGGCACGAAAGCGUGGGUAGCAAACAGG